GGCCGCAGUAUUUUAACUGUGCAAAGGUAGCAUAAUCAUUAGUCUUUUAAUUGAAGGCUGGAAUGAAUGGUUGGAUGAAAUAUUAACUGUUUCAUAAAAAUUUUUUAUAGAAUUUUAUUUUUUAGUUAAAAAGCUAAAAUUUAUUUAAAAGACGAGAAGACCCUAUAAAUCUUAAUAAUUUUUUAUAAAAAUAAUUUUUAGAUUUUUUUUUUAUUUUUAUAAUAAAUUAUUUUAUUGGGGUGAUAGUAAAAUUUAAUUAACUUUUAAUUUUAAAAUCAUUUAUUUAUGAAUAAUUGAUCAUUUAUUAAAGAUUAAAAGAAUAAGUUACUUUAGGGAUAACAGCGUAAUUUUUUUGGAGAGUUCUUAUUUAUAAAAAAGAUUGCGACCUCGAUGUUGGAUU
rnacentral:rRNA from 1 species